CGGCUGAGUAACGCGUGGGUGACGUACCUAUCGAUGGGGAAUAACUGCCCGAAAGGGUGGCUAAUACCGCAUACGCCCGCUUCUGCGUUGGAGUGGGGAAAGUUUUGUGAGAGACGUCGAUGGAGCGGCCCGCGUCCGAUUAGCUGGUUGGUGGGGUAACGGCCUACCAAGGCGACGAUCGGUAGCUGGUCUCAGAGGAUGAUCAGCCAGACUGGGACUGAGACACGGCCCAG
rnacentral:rRNA from 1 species